CCGAGCUGCGCUGCGAGGAGCGGGACCGGCCUCGGCGGGCUGUCCUGCUCGCCAGGACACUGCUGACACCGCCUGCCUGCUAAUAUACUUACUAAAACACCUGGUUUUCAGUAGCUGAGAUCUAAUAAAUUCAGUGAGUUAAAUUCACUUAAACGUGCGGGUCUUACGCGGCCGGGCAUGGAAUUGAAGUUUAACGCUGUAGUGCACCAGCCCCGGUGCAAGCCGCUUUCUCACGGCCGGCACACACGCCCGUUCCUGUGUGGAAAAGCCAUGUUUAUUCCAAGGAGAGCUGUAAGGCCGUGCUUUCCUAACAGGAGCUGAGACCUUUCCCCGAUGUUUCCCAAAUACUUCCUCCAGUCUCCAGCUAAGAAUCCUGGGCAGUAUUAGGCAGUAGCCAAGGAUUUCUCAGCUUCCCGUGUGACGACAGGAACUUGCAAAGCCAAAUUCAGAUAUGACAGGCGUCAUCAUAUCAGACUAGUGUGUCUUUACAAACACACUGCUUGUAGAGAAGGCCAGAGAUAAGGUAGAUAAUGAAAUAAUGAGAAAACCCAUUAAUUUUAGAAGGCUUUACUAAUUGAUGCAGACAGCUGCUCAGCCAAGGUCGCGCUAAACUCCUGAACUUUGUGAAGACUUUAUAGAGGAAUCAUGCCAGGAGCAGCUGGAGCAGCACAGUAUGUCCAAGCUGCGGGCCUGAGAAAAAGAAAGUUGGAUUAUCCCAGUACUUGUUACUAAUGUGGCUGGAUGACCACCCUUAUGACUGUGUGGAGGCUGGGGAGGCAGAGUGAGCAACCACCACAGCAACCCAAGGAUCUGCCAGCACAAGGCAAGAGCAGCCCGCAACUAUAAAUGCCUGAGGAGGAGUGAUCACAGGCACUAUCAGCGCACGUGGGGCCUGACACACAAAUGUAACUUCCCCUUUCAGAACAGAUCAAAAGGCCACAGGUGAAACCUGCUCUGUGAAAGAACCAUUACACUGGAGCACACGGGGCACAAACAUUUGUGCACCAGAAGAAAUGGCUAAGUGAGCAGUGCACGUGCAGUAAUUCAAGAGAACAAGAACAGUAACAAAAGCCAAGAAUGACUGGUAAAAACAAAGAAUUGGCAGUGCUGCCUGGAGCAUAUCAAGGCCACACUGUGUAUAGAAAAAUACCAAAAAUGCAAAAUAGUAACUGUGUAACAACUCAACUCCGAACCUUCUUUGCCAAAACAAAAAGGUUUCUGGGAUAAGCAUUGUUAUCUAUCAAGAACCAUGGAAACAGAGAAGGAUGUGAUAGCUAGCAGUCCUUGUUCUCCAUGCCACCACAAGUAAUCCUGGCAUCUACAAGAAAAGGAAAUCAGUUUUGUUUAAAAAACGGAGCACCUUUCUGUGUGCUCUGUGUGCACACCUUUCUGGUGUGCUCAUACAAUGCAUUUUGCUCCAUUUAUUGUGGCAACAAAGUGGAAGAAGAAAACAACAUUCCAGUUCCAUUAUAAUUACAACAUUCUUGCUUAAUUACAAACAAUACCAGUACAAGGCACAGAAGACACUCAAAUUCCAUCAACUCCCGAGGUAAAAGUUGUCAUGUUUGCAAAGAGAAUUAACCUUUUAGGAAGAAACAGCAGUAACUCAUGAUAAAAAGAUGAUAAAAGCAGAAGACACAUUGCCAGGCAUUUACAUUGUGUUCCUAUUUGCUCAGGUGUGCAACUGUGAGUUUUGCACAAGCAUGUAGACACAUUGCAUGUUCCAGACAAAACCUGCUUGAUUGUUGUGGUUCUGAACAGAUGCUAAAUAUAUUGCAGCAGCUGCAUAUUCAGUCAGUUGGUGUGAUUAGAGACAGACUGUCAAUGCUGAAGCAUGAUUACCAUGAUAUAUAAAGCUUACAAACUAAUCAAGUCACAAAUUAAACAGUAUUUAGAUGA